AAUUCGAUUAGUUUGAUCAUGGCUCAGAAUGAACGUUGGCGGCGUGGAUUAGGCAUGCAAGUCGUACGGGCCGCAAGGCCAGUGGCGCAAGGGUGAGUAAGGCGACGGUAACCAACCCCGUAAUUGGGUAUAGCCGCGGGAAACUGCGGGUAAUCCCCAGCGACGUCACCGGGCGGCAUCCCCCGGUGACCAAAGCCCCGGCGUUAUGGGACGGGCCGUCGUGCUAUUAGCUCGUUGGCGGGGUAACGGCCCACCAAGGCGAUGAUGGCUACCGGGCGUGCGAGCGUGGCCCGGCACACUGGGACUGAGACACUGCCCAGACUCCUACGGGAGGCUGCAGUCGAGAAUCUUCGGCAAUGGGCGCAAGCCUGACCGAGCGACGCCGCGUGGAGGACGAAGGCCUUCGGGUUGUAAACUCCUGUCGAGGGGGAAAAAGGCCGGGUAACCGGCUUGAUUGAUCCCUGGAGGAAGCACGGGCUAAGUUCGUGCCAGCAGCCGCGGUAAGACGAACCGUGCGAACGUUAUUCGGAAUCACUGGGCUUAAAGCGCGUGUAGGCGGGUGAGCACGUCCGGCGCUGAAAUCCCCCGGCUUAACCGGGGAACGGGCACGGAUACGACUCGCCUG
rnacentral:rRNA from 1 species